GACAGAUCAAUAUCUAAGCGGCUGUUCAGCCGUUUUAACGGGAGACGCAGUAUCACCCCUGGGCUCAAUGCGAAAAGUUCACUAGGUGCGACUGCAUUUUCUGAUCCGAUAUCAAUCAUGUCAGGAAAAUUAUGUAGGAAACGAUAUCAAUCAGGGAGCAAAAUGUUCUGGUUCAGCGAGAUGGCUAUUUUCGAUUUGCCCGCGGCGGCCUAGUACUAUCCAUUUGGACACUCAGCAUCUUCUUCAUCCUGUACGUUGUAGUCGGUGCUAGCUUGGGGGCCAUUAGAUAUGACGUAUCAUUUAUGACAGCCCUCUUCUAUAGUAAGCAUCCGAAGCACACUUAUUUGUUAGGUUCAUCGUCACCUCGGACGACAGCAGAAAGAAUAUUGGGUUAACCUAGGCUUGAGCAUCACGCCGACUGCGCAUCUCGCAAGAUUGUCUGCCGACGAUGUCUUCGCUUUCAUAGUUGUCCGCUAGGAUUGCGCCGCAAAGUUUCUGCCGACGUCCUGAUGGGGGAUCAACGCUAGAAAUGGUUACCGAAAAAAGCUCUGUCCAUGUCGACGUGGAACAAAUUAAAUCUGCAUACAAUUGGAGUUUUACCUAAAAGAAUGCCCAUACAGAACAAUGCGUCUAUGAAAAGCAAUAAGGCUAUAGACUCACGACGAUCUUCGAUGACGACCCUCAGACAAACUUCGGUGGAAUUAAUUUCUUCUCAGAAGCGCUGGUUUCAACGACAGUUACUUCCUUGCGGAUCCUCUAUUUGCUAUUCGUUCGAAAUACAGUGGUUCUAGAAAUGGCAGAAGGUGUUGUUGAAGUUGCGGAUGCUGAGACCGUAAAUAAAGUCUUUGUUGAAAAGUAGUCCUGAUUAUUGAGAUGGCCGUGCUGCGUACCUCAACUGAAGCUGAUGAGAAUGCCGAGGCUGACUCGGACUCUGGCAUUUCAAAAACUGG